CUGAACCAGCCAAGUAGCGUGAAGGAUGACUGCCCUAUGGGUUGUAAACUUCUUUUAUAAAGGAACAAAGUCGGGUAUGGAUACCCGUUUGCAUGUACUUUAUGAAUAAGGAUCGGCUAACUCCGUGCCAGCAGCCGCGGUAAUACGGAGGAUCCGAGCGUUAUCCGGAUUUAUUGGGUUUAAAGGGAGCGUAGAUGGAUGUUUAAGUCAGUUGUGAAAGUUUGCGG
rnacentral:rRNA from 1 species